AACCUGGAGAUUUGUCAUCUUCCAUAUUUAACACAUAAAAGUGGACUUAAAAGAUGAAGUUGUCCACUUGAACUAGCACAUUUUCUAGGAAUUCUUUAGGGUAGAUAAUUGAUUUGUUUGCCAGUUGAAUAAUAACCCAUGUUUUCUUCAAUUGUGCUGAACCAAACUUAAAGUAGACAGACAUGGGUAUUACAUGGAUUAAAGAAGCUCCGAGGUCACACAUGGCCUUCCUUAUGCCUAGGGUACCUAUUUUGCAAGAAAUAGUAAACAUAUCUUGGUCUUUGCAUUUGGGAGGCAACUUUUUCUGUAUAAUAGCUGUGACAGUUUUCUCCACUCGUACUCUCU
rnacentral:lncRNA from 1 species